rnacentral:rRNA from 1 species
CGGCGCCACGAGUGGCAUCCGUAUUUAUUUGGCCUAAAGCGUCCGUAGCUUGUUUGAUAAAUUUCUUGUGAAAUUGCUAGGCUCAACUUAGCAACGUGCAGGAAACACUAUCUUACUUGGAACUGGGAGGAGUCAAAGGUAUUCCAUGGGGAGCGGUAAAAUGCUAUAAUCCUUGGAGGACCACCUGUGGCGAAGGCGUUUGACUAGAACAGCUUCGACAGUGAGGGACGAAAGCCAGGGGAGCGAACCGGAUUAGAUACCCGAGUAGUCC